rnacentral:rRNA from 1 species
GAUGAACGCUAGCUGGAGGCUUAAUACAUGCAAGUCGAGCGGGAUUGGGUAGCAAUACCCAUGAGAGCGGCGCACGGGUGAGUAACGCGUACACGACCUACCUCUAACAGGGGGAUAGCCCUGGGAAACUGGGAUUAAUACCGCAUAUAAUUCUGAAUAAUAAAGGUUUGGAAUGAAAGCUGAGGCGGUUAGAGAUGGGUGUGCGUCUGAUUAGCUAGUUGGUGGGGUAACGGCCUGCCAAGGCGAUGAUCAGUAGGGGGCGUGAGAGCGUGGUCCCCCACACGGGUACUGAGACACGGACCCGACUCCUACGGGAGGCAGCAGUAAGGAAUAUUGGUCAAUGGGCGAAAGCCUGAACCUGCCAUCCAGCGUGCAGGAAGAAGGCCCUAUGGGUUGUAAACUGCUUUUAUCAGGGAAGAAACCUCUGGAUUUACUCCGGAGCUGACGGUACCUGAAGAAUAAGCACCGGCUAACUCCGUGCCAGCAGCCGCCGUAAAAC